UUCGCAUGUUAGGUACGCUGCUAGAUGGAUGACUCGGCUCGAAACGCCGAUGAAGGACGUGACAAGCUACGAUAUGCCCUGGCGAGUUGAAUGUAAGCGUUGAACCAGGGAUUUCCGAAUGAGUCUUCUCAUUAUAGGCCAGUCAUGGCCGGGGAACGCAGGGAAUUGAAGCGUCUUAGUACCUGCAGGAAAAGAAAUCAAUUGAGAUGCCGUGAGUAAGAGCGACCGAAAACGGCCCAGUUCAAACUGAAUCCGCUGCAGUAAUGCAAUGGAGAUGUGGUGCGGUGGACUUUCAGCAGGCCUUUUUUCCGACUUAAAGUCUUCUGGAAAGGAGCACGACAAAGGGUGACAGUCCCGUAAGGGAAAGAAAAAAGGUCAUUGGAAGUAUCCUGAGUACCGCUCCUUGGAAAUGGGGUGGGAAUCUGGGGGGCAUUAACCCCUAAAACUAAAUACGUUUCGAGUCCGAUAGCAAACCAGUACCGUGAGGGAAAGUUGAAAAGAACCCCUGACCGGGAGUUCAAAGAUCCUGAAAUCUAGCAGUUUUAGUAUGGUAGGGCAUUAAGGUGUUCUACCGUGCGUUUCGAAUAACGUGCCAGGGAGUGUAUCUAAGUGGCAAGGAUAACCUGUAUAAGGGCAUCCGAAGGGAAACCAAGACUCCGCAAGCAAUGAGGGAGAUGGUAUGAAAGUGCCAUAAGUCACUUGGAUACGACCCGAAACCGGGCGAUCUAUUCCUGGGCAAGGUGAAGCGAGGGUAAAACCUCGUGGAGGCCUGCAGAGGUUCUGUGUGCAAGCGUUCUUCUGACCUGGGAAUAGGGGUGAAAAGCCAAUCGAGCUCGGUGAUAGCGGGUUCCCAUCGAAAUUGACCUUAGUCAAGUCUCGGACGAGAUAGUUAUGGCUGUAGAGCGACGGAUAAGGGAUUUAGGCAGGGAAACUUGUCGGUCCCCUGUCCAACUCCGAAUACUGUAACGUUGUAGACUCCGGGAAACAGGGAAUGUUGGGGUAAACUUCAUUCCCAAAAGGGGAACAACCCCGACUAUGGUUAAGGCCCCAAAAUGUCAGCUAAGUGAUAAAGGGUAAAAGGCGUUUAUGAUCUUAGACAGCGAGGAGGUUGGCUUAGAAGCAGCCACCCUUUAAAAAGUGCGUAACAGCUUACUCGUUGAGGUCGUGAGCCCUGAAGAUUAACGGGUCUAAGUUGACUGCCGAUACCAUAGACCACGAUGAGUGGGGGUAGAUGGGCGCUCUUCUAGGGCAGAAGCAUCUUCAUGAGAGGAUGUGGACCUAGAAGAAAUGAAUAUCCUGGUGGUAGUAGGAUCGUAGCAGAGUGAAAACCUCUGCCAUCGUAAGGGCCAGGGUUCCUUGGCAAUGUCUGUCAGCCAAGGGUUAGUCGGUCCUAACUUAUCUCAUACUUGAGUUAAGGGAAAGGGAGAGCGGUUAAUAUUCCGCUACUGCUUUUGUAUGCGUGGCAACACAAGCUUUGUUUCUGACGCUUCCGAAUAGAUCAACAUCGCUCGUCUACGAUGUCAAUAUGGAUACAUCACGGGAGUAUCAUAAUGAUGAGAACGUGAUGAAACCAUAGAUGAGCAGGCCUAUGGUCUGUUUGGUUGAUUUCCGGAGCCCCUGAAAAAGGAACAAAGAAAAAUCAGAAGCAACCGUACCGAGAACCAGCACUGGUGCCCCUAGGUGAGUAGCCUAAGAUGUGUGAGUGUAAACUAGUUCAGGGAAUUCGGCAAAUUAGUCCUGUACCUUCGGUAGAAGGGAUCCCUGCAUUCGUAUCUGUAUAGGUGCGAGUUCAGGGCUCAGUGACAAGGAUGGUCCGACUGUUUAACAAAAACUUAACAUUCUGCUAGGCGGUAACGCUGUGUAUAGAAUGUGAUAUCUGCCCAGUGCCAGUACUUUAAACUUCGGUUCAACGGAGCGAAGAGCUGGUAAACGGCGGGAGUAACUAUAACUCUCUUAAGGUGAAAUACGUUGCUUUAAGACCCAAAAGUUAAACAGUAUACCUAAAAACUUGGGAUAAAAAUUUGGCUAUAUGCUGGAACAUCUCAACGAAAGUUUCUAGUAAAAUUUUCUGGUAACGGAGAAUUUAUCUCAAAAUGAAACUGGAGAGACAAUCAGCAGGAAAGACUUCUCAACGAGAAGAAUCCUCAGAGACUGAACGCCAAACCAAUCUUUGAAGAAAAUUUUUUGAUUAAUUUUUUUUAGCUUUAUCAAUAUAAAUGAUAGAGGUUUUUGAUCAAACUUUUUCUAAAAAAGUUUGGAAGAUACAGUCCGAACACAGCAGCGAUGUUGUGAGAUCAGUAGAAAUACUCGGUCCGGUUCUUAAAAGAGAAUCAGUAACAAACCUUGAGCGUAAUACCUUGCCGAUUGAAUGUCGGCUUGCAUGAAUGGUAUAACGAGAUCGUCACUGUCCCGAACUAGUGUCUCCUGAAAACUUCUUCCUGGUGCAAAGACCAGGGAUUUCCAGUGGGAAGCGAAGACCCCGUGAAACUUUACUGCAGCUUGUUGUUGUGGUGCGGUUUUUGUUACAUAGUGUAAGUGGGAGCCGUUAGGCGUAUGCUUGUGGGCGUAUGAUAGGCAACAAUGUAACACCACUUUUCAAGUACUUCAUCACUUACCUCGCAAGAGGGACACCAAUUGGUGGGCAGUUUGGCUGGGGUGGCACGCUGCUGAAAGGAUAUCAGUAGCGCCCAAUGGUUGACUCAUCCGGUUUAGAAAUCCGGAGUUGAGUGCAAGGGCAUAAGUCAGCCUGAUUGGAGUUCAAACAUAACGAAUUCCAAACGCGAAAGCGUGGCCUAGCGAACUCCUGAGCCUUCUUAAUGAGGGCCAGGAAUGACUGAAAAGUUACUCCGGGGAUAACUGAGUUGUCGCGCCCGAGAGUUCAUAUCGACGGCGCGGUUUGCUUCUUCAUCGUGAGCUGGGUUCAGAACGCUGUGAGGCAGUUUGUUUGAUAUCUACUGGGAAUGUUGGGUGUCUGAAAGGAAGGAUCUUUUAGUACGAGAGGAACGAAGGUUCGUAGCCACUGGUCGAUCGGUUGUCUGACAAGGCAUGCCGAGCAGCUACGCUAUACGUGAUAAGUGCUGAAAGCAUCUAAGCACGAAGCACACCUUGAAAAGAGACACCUUAGGACACGGCAAUAACAGCCGUUUGAUAGAAGCGAUGUGUACGCACCAAGGCAACGAGGUGUUCAGCAUGCGCUUACUAACGUCCACAACCUAUAUACC
rnacentral:rRNA from 1 species